rnacentral:tRNA from 2 species
AGACUUUUAGUUUAAAAAGAAUUUCCCACUUACAAUGGGGGGGUUAAAAGUCUU